CCCGCACAAGCGGCGGAGCAUGCGGAUUAAUUCGAUGCAACGCGAAGAACCUUACCAAGGCUUGACAUACACCGGUAACGCCCAGAGAUGGUGCCCCUUUGUGGUCGGUGUACAGGUGGUGCAUGGUUGUCGUCAGCUCGUGUCGUGAGAUGUUGGGUUAAGUCCCGCAACGAGCGCAACCCUCGUCCUAUGUUGCCAGCGGGUCAUGCCGGGGACUCAUGGGAGACUGCCGGGGUCAACUCGGAGGAAGGUGGGGAUGACGUCAAAUCAUCAUGCCCCUUAUAGGUGGGGCUACACACGUCAUACAAUGGAUGGUACAAAGGGUCGCCAACCCGCGAGGGGGAGCCAAUCCCAUAAAGCCAUUCGUAGUCCGGAUCGCAGUCUGCAACUCGACUGCGUGAAGUCGGAAUCGCUAGUAAUCGUGGAUCAGAAUGUCACGGUGAAUACGUUCCCGGGUCUU
rnacentral:rRNA from 1 species